GUCCCUAUAGCGUAAUGGGUAGCGCGCGUUGGACUUCUAAUCCAAAGGUUGUGGAUUCGAAUACCACUUGGGAUG